rnacentral:rRNA from 1 species
AAAGGAAUAGACGGGGGCCCGCACAAGCAGUGGAGUAUGUGGUUUAAUUCGAAGCAACGCGAAGAACCUUACCAGGUCUUGACAUCGAGUGACGUACUAAGAGAUUAGUACUCCCUUUUUGGGCACGAAGACAGGUGGUGCAUGGUUGUCGUCAGCUCGUGUCGUGAGAUGUUGGGUUAAGUCCCGCAACGAGCGCAACCCUUGCCAUUAGUUACUACGCAAGAGGACUUUAAUGGGACUGCCGUUGACAAAACGGAGGAAGGUGGGGAUGACGUCAAAUCAUCAUGCCCCUUAUGACCUGGGCUACACACGUACUACAAUGGCAAUUAACAGAGGGGAGCAAAGCAGUGAUGCAGAGCAAAUCCCGAAAAAUUGUCUCAGUUCGGAUUGUAGGCUGCAACUCGCCUACAUGAAGUCGGAAUUGCUAGUAAUCGCAGAUCAGCAUGCUGCGGUGAAUACGUUCCCGGGCCUUGUACACACCGCCCGU